CAGUAGCCGCGGGAAUACGUAGGGUGCGAGCGUUAAUCGGAAUUACUGGGCGUAAAGCGUGCGCAGGCGGUUUUGUAAGACAGAGGUGAAAUCCCCGGGCUCAACCUGGGAACUGCCUUUGUGACUGCAAGGCUAGAGUACGGCAGAGGGGGAUGGAAUUCCGCGUGUAGCAGUGAAAUGCGUAGAUAUGCGGAGGAACACCGAUGGCGAAGGCAAUCCCCUGGGCCUGUACUGACGCUCAUGCACGAAAGCGUGGGGAGCAAACAGGAUUAGAUACCCCGGUAGUCCCUGUCUCUUAUAC
rnacentral:rRNA from 1 species